rnacentral:ncRNA from 1 species
AGAAUAGGUAAAGCAUGUCUCCCGAAAGCGGGAACCGGUUUUGGGAUAAAGACAUACGUAAAAACAAAAGCUUAAGGCGUGUUGCCUGAACACGAUUGAACGCAACACGCUUUAGAGCAUUUCCAGCAAAAGUGCGAAGCGGUUUUGCGU